CUCAGGGGAAAGGAAGGCUCCUCCCGCCUUCUGCCGAGGGCGAGGUAAAGAAUAGAAGAGAAAAAAGUGUCUUGGCAGGGAAGGACUGGGGCGUUUUGGGACUGUUCAGGCUGAAGAGGGCUCCGGGGAGACCUCGUAGGGCCCUAGGGGCCUACAGGAAGACUGGGGAGGGGCAUUUUAGAAGGGCGUGGAGUGGUAGGACGAGGGAAUGGCUUGAAACUGGAAGAGGUUAGGUUGAAGUUAUUAAGGAAUAAAUUAUUCAUUGUGAGACUGGUGAGACGUUGGCCCAGGCUGAUGAGAGAAGUUUUGGAUGCCCCAUCCCUGGAAGUUCAAGCAAGUGUGAGCAACCUGGUCUGGUGGGAGGUGUCCCUGCUGAUGGCAGGGGGGUUGGAGUUAGAUGAUCUUUAAGGUCCCUUCCAACUCAAACCAUUCUAAGAUACUACGAUACUUCUUACCAGCGUGGGGUGUGGGGGAAACAGAGAAGCUGGCCAGCUGCAGUGCAGGUCCUCGGUCUCACCAGGGCUGUGGCUGUAGACAGAGGCCUGUGAUACAGGAUGUGGGGUGUCCACUGACUUCUUGUGUCAAGAUGUUGGUUCACAAGACAUUCUCAAGACUGAAAAGGUUAAAUACGUCUUAGCAACGGAAUUGAAACUUCAUUACUUCUUGUGUGUCUUGCCUCCAUCAUCAUCGUGUGUGAACAGCUCAGUGUAUUUAUCCCCAACAUCCUUGUGAGGUCAGGAAAUACUACUUUAUAACCAGAAUAGGAAGAGAUUUGCCUUAUGUUGCACAAGAGACCUGGCUAAAAUCAUAAAACAAGUUUCUGUAGUCACAGACUAGCAGUGUAAACUUCUGAUCUCGUUCUGUGAUUCUCAGUUGCUGAGAAGAAAAUCCUUUAAAAGGAUAACCUUUGAUGGAUAAAGUGACAAUAAGGGAAAAGUUCAGUUUGUGGUACUUCUGCUAAAGAUCUCUGCAGCAAAACUUGGUCUCUUUAACUCAAUUAAAACAAUAAACUGCUUAUGAAAAAUAAAUUGUCUCUUGAAAAGAACCAAGAAACAAUGUUUUCCUUCUAUUGCCUCCAGUAUUCAAAUGCAUGUAACUGCAGAUGGAACAAGGGUUUCAGACACGUUUGAUUUUUUGAGUAGAUGGUGUCCCUUUAAUGCCAAAAAAAUAAUAACUUUCAUUAGGCUCUGCAGUAUGAACAAGGACUGAUGCAUGGGGAAGACUGCAAAUAAAGAGGACUUUAUGGAGCUGCAGAUUUUGAAGGAAAAAGUAAAAAAAAAAAUAAGCCUAAUAGAAUAACAUGAGCACCCAGGUCCUCUUUCUUCCUUUUAUAAAAGCUGGGUACAGACAACAAGUAAUAUGAGAAUUUGCAAAAACCGAGAAAACAAUAAAAAUCUUUAUUGACUUCUAAUUAUUUUCCUCUACAACCACUCCUUCACAAACAUAGUUUUGGAAGUGGAGCCUGGGACCUCUGCAUUUCUGCAGCACCUGUUGUCCUUGAGAUGGCUUAUCAAAUUGUAACUGUGGACAACUGGUACUUGACAACACCUUCAAAUGUAGUAUCUGACAUACUUGUGUUGGUUUUCCAGCUUCCUCCCUUGUUAUGUAUUAUUUGCACUUGAAAUUCUCAACAUGCCAUCAUUACCUGGGAAUGUAAGUUGGAAUUCCCAGCAAUUUCCAAGAACAGAACAGAAUUUCCAAGCACUAAGGCAAAUAUUUGCACAGAGGGUGAUGCUUCAAAGUGAGUCAGCUUGACGAGCACUUGCAAGGAUGAAUCCACAAAAAUCAAGGCAAAUGCUUCAAGGCUGAAGAGGAGUAGCAGCAAUCUGUAAGUUUUCCCUCUAACACGUGAGGUGCUUCAAAGGAGACAUACAGAAUUUUCACAUCCUGAAUAACUUAAUGGUCAAGCAACAUGGGUCACCAACACAGCAAAAGCUGAAUUUCAUAUGGUGAGGAAAAAAAAAUAAACCAGUGACUGUGAUACUAUCAAGAGAAUCAAAGGGUUUCACUUCCCUGAAGGAAAUGCUGUCCACAGCCAGUUCUUACAGCAUUUGAACUAGGCGAACUCCUGAUGCAAAGGAGCCAAAGCUAAAUGAAGUUCAAGUAAAGACCUGUUUGCCAAGGGGUGGAAAGGUUUAAGUACAACAAACGCCUCAGCAUGACAACAUAUAUUCUGCAAAGACUCGAGCAGAAAGGGGCAAUUACUGCCUGAUGUUCCAGUUCUAAUCUUAAAUUAUAGGAUAGCUGCCUAAUGAAGGGGAACAUUGCUGGAGACAGCUGUGGUGGAUGGAAGGGAAAACUGCUGUAAUUACAGACCCUUGCACUUCAGUGACAGAAGUUCCCAAACUCUGAGGGGAAACACCUUCAUAAUGUUUGUUUUGCAGAAUCAAAUAACAUUCCCAAUUUGUACUGGAAUGGAAACAUUCGAGUAUGUCAGCCUUUAAAUCAGACUGCAGCCCUACUUGGUGCAUAUUAGAAGCUAGACUAAAUAGGCAGAGAUGAGCUAGUGUACUGGGAUCCUAACUCAGACUGGGGGUACAAUAAUGAUGGUUGACUAGAAAAAUGCAAGUGAUGGCAGUGGAGAUCCAGGGAGAGAAAGCAAAUAAAGAAAACAAGGACACAAGUCUCAGGAAGAACAUCUGAUUGGUGAGGUCAGAACAAACUUGUUCCCUUCUUCCAAGAUCACUGCUAGCAGCAAGGGUGUUGAAUGUUUCAUACUUGUUCUUAUUACACAGAGCACGAUACUGGGAAGACCGAGAAAAUUACUCUUGAUUUAACAGGGAUCUUUCACCUUUGUGAGCUACACAGUCAGAGGCACUGGUUUAAAACAUGUGGUCUAUAGACUCCUAGGGUUCCACAGAUGACUUCCGAGGGCUGCAGAAAAGGUAACCAAGGAACAAGAUGUUGUCUUGUCCCUAUCCAAUGGUCUGCAUCUCUCCUGCAAAAUUUAUAGGGAUCUACAAGUGAAGAAAGCUCAAAACCACUGCUUUUACACUAUUACUACUACAUGAGAAGAAAUUGAUGAUAUUUUUCCAAUAAUUACUUCCAUGAAUGACUCAUCUCCUAGCAGCAUGAUACAUAACUAUAUUUUCAGAGUUGCUCUUCUUCAGCCAGUAAAAAGAGCUGGUCAUGUAAUGAGCAACUGUUCAAUGAUUUUUGUUCUCCUGGUUGUUUAAUGGAGCUUCAGACUUCACAGUGAUGUAUUCUUUUACUUUUCUUUGAAGGAAGAAUUGUUUGUUCCCAUGGUACUUAUUUAAUGGCAUUUAAUGUUAUAAAAUCUGAGUAUUUCACAAAUAUUAAUGUUUAAUUAAGUAAAACUCCAAGGUGAGUGGAUGAAAAAUGGGGGAAAAGAUAAAUUAAUUUUGGCGUCCAGUUUGAGAGGGUUGUUUUUUUUUCUACAAUAAAACCAUAGCCCCCCUUGA